rnacentral:rRNA from 1 species
AUUGAACGCUGGCGGCAGGCCUAACACAUGCAAGUCGAGCGGUAGAGAGAAGCUUGCUUCUCUUGAGAGCGGCGGACGGGUGAGUAAUGCCUAGGAAUCUGCCUGGUAGUGGGGGAUAACGCUCGGAAACGGACGCUAAUACCGCAUACGUCCUACGGGAGAAAGCAGGGGACCUUCGGGCCUUGCGCUAUCAGAUGAGCCUAGGUCGGAUUAGCUAGUUGGUGAGGUAAUGGCUCACCAAGGCGACGAUCCGUAACUGGUCUGAGAGGAUGAUCAGUCACACUGGAACUGAGACACGGUCCAGACUCCUACGGGAGGCAGCAGUGGGGAAUAUUGGACAAUGGGCGAAAGCCUGAUCCAGCCAUGCCGCGUGUGUGAAGAAGGUCUUCGGAUUGUAAAGCACUUUAAGUUGGGAGGAAGGGCAUUAACCUAAUACGUUAGUGUUUUGACGUUACCGACAGAAUAAGCACCGGCUAACUCUGUGCCAGCAGCCGCGGUAAUACAGAGGGUGCAAGCGUUAAUCGGAAUUACUGGGCGUAAAGCGCGCGUAGGUGGUUCGUUAAGUUGGAUGUGAAAUCCCCGGGCUCAACCUGGGAACUGCAUUCAAAACUGUCGAGCUAGAGUAUGGUAGAGGGUGGUGGAAUUUCCUGUGUAGCGGUGAAAUGCGUAGAUAUAGGAAGGAACACCAGUGGCGAAGGCGACCACCUGGACUGAUACUGACACUGAGGUGCGAAAGCGUGGGGAGCAAACAGG